rnacentral:rRNA from 1 species
CCUACGGGAGGCAGCAGUGGGGAAUAUUGCGCAAUGGGCGAAAGCCUGACGCAGCGACGCCGCGUGAGGGAUGAAGGUCUUCGGAGCGUAAACCUCUGUCAGCAGGGAAGAACGGUCACGGGGCUAAGCAGCAGUGAAUUGACGGUACCUGCAAAGGAAGCACCGGCUAACUCCGUGCCAGCAGCCGCGGUAAUACGGAGGGUGCGUGCGUGAAUCGGAAUUACUGGGCGGACCGCGCUCGUAGGCGGUAGGUCCAGUCAAGGGUGAAAUCCCCGCGCGCACCGUGGGAACUGCCUUUGAAACUGGCAAACUGGAGUGUGUGAGAGGUUAGUGGACUUCCAGGUGUAGCAGU